rnacentral:rRNA from 1 species
UACGUAGGGUGCGAGCGUUAAUCGGAAUUACUGGGCGUAAAGCGUGCGCAGGCGGUUAUAUAAGACAGUUGUGAAAUCCCCGGGCUCAACCUGGGAAUUGCAUCUGUGACUGUAUAGCUAGAGUACGGUAGAGGGGGAUGGAAUUCCGCGUGUAGCAGUGAAAUGCGUAGAUAUGCGGAGGAACACCGAUGGCGAAGGCAAUCCCCGUGGACCUGUACUGACGCUCAUGCACGAAAGCGUGGGGAGCAAACAGG